CGUAGGAGACGAACGUUAUCCGGAGUUACUGGGCGUAAAGGGCGUGUAGGCGGUUUGUUAAGUCUGGCGUGAAAGCUCUCGGCUAACCGGGAGAGGUCGUUGGAUACUGGCGAACUGGAGGAUGGUAGAGGCGUGUGGAAUUCCGGGUGUAGUGGUGAAAUGCGUAGAGAUCCGGAGGAACACCAGUGGCGAAGGCGACACGCUGGGCCAUACCUGACGCUAAAGCGCGACAGCAUGGGGAGCAAACGGGAUUAGAAACCCCGGUAGUCCAUGCCGUAAACGAUGCCAGCUAGAUGUUCAGGUCUCGCAAGAGACCGGGGUAUCGAAGCAAACGCGAUAAGCUGGCCGCCUGGGGAGUACGGUCGCAAGGCUA
rnacentral:rRNA from 1 species